rnacentral:misc_RNA from 1 species
GUAGGUGAACCUGCGGAUGGAUCAUUAUCACGUAUCCACGUAUCAACCAUUGUGAACUGUACUACCUUUGAGAGGUUUGCGAGUGUUAAGGGAAGUUCUUUGGACUUCUCUGCCUCUCAAAGCGUAUUUUUUUUAACACUUCAAUUACUUACACAAUUUUAACCUUUCAUUUUUAAAACUUUGAACUGACUUAUUUUCAUACUCUUUCACGGAGAUGAAAUUCAUUACGAAACAAAGAACAACUCUUAGCAACGGAUAUCUUGGUUCUC